GCAUGUUUAGAUCAUUAAGAACUGAGCGAUUUUAUGUUUUUGUAUGUUCGUGUAAAUUAUUGUUUCGAUGUUUGCAGUGAUAAUGUUGCUGUUAGUCUCGUGAUCUAUGA